CAAAGGUAGCAUAAUAAUUNGUUUUUUAAUUAAAAACUANAAGGAAAGAUUAAAUGANAUAUAAACUUUUUUAAUUAAAUUCAUAUUAAAAUUUUUAUUUAAGUAAAAAAACUUAAAUAAUUAUUANANACNAUANNACCCUANANAAUUUUAUUUAUUUAUUUUUAUAAAAAAAUAAAUAAAUUUUAUUGGGGAAAUUAAAAAAUUUAAAUAACUUUUUUUAAAUAAAAUAUUUUAAAUAUAUAAUUUAUUUUAACUUUUAAAAUAAAAAAAUUAAUUACCUUAGGGAUAACAGCAUAAUUUUUUUUUUAAAACCUUAUUAA
rnacentral:rRNA from 1 species